rnacentral:rRNA from 1 species
AGGGCACCACCAGGAGUGGAGCCUGCGGCUUAAUUUGACUCAACACGGGAAAUCUUACCUGGCCCGGACACUGGAAGGAUUGACAGAUUGAGAGCUCUUUCUUGAUUCGGUGGGUGGUGGUGCAUGGCCGUUCUUAGUUGGUGGAGCGAUUUGUCUGGUUAAUUCCGAUAACGAACGAGACUCUGGCCUACUAAAUAGACUGUAGAUCCUUUUGGGGGCCUAUCCCAGCUUCUUAUACGGACGGGGGGCGGUCGGCCGGACGAUAUUGAGCAAUAACAGGGCUGUGGGGGCCUUAGAUGUUCUGGGCUGCACACCCGCUACACUGAAGGAAUCCCCUUGUGUUCCCUGCCCCAAAGGACUGGGAAACCCGUUAAACCUCCUUGGUGAUGGGGAUUGGGCAUUGCGAUUAUUCCCCAUGAACGAGGAAUUCCCAGUAUGGGCGAGUCAUAUUGUUGCUACUAUUAUUGCCCUGCCCUUUGUACACACCGGCAGUCGCUACUACCGAUCUAGUGAUGUAGC